AUUGAACGCUGGCGGCAGGCCUAACACAUGCAAGUCGAGCGGAUGAAGGGAGCUUGCUCCUGGAUUCAGCGGCGGACGGGUGAGUAAUGCCUAGGAAUCUGCCUGGUAGUGGGGGAUAACGUCCGGAAACGGGCGCUAAUACCGCAUACGUCCCGAGGGAGAAAGUGGGGAUCUUCGGACCUCACGCUAUCAGAUGAGCCUAGGUCGGAUUAGCUAGUUGGUGGGGUAAAGGCCUACCAAGGCGACGAUCCGUAACUGGUCUGAGAGGAUGAUCAGUCACACUGGAACUGAGACACGGUCCAGACUCCUACGGGAGGCAGCAGUGGGGAAUAUUGGACAAUGGGCGAAAGCCUGAUCCAGCCAUGCCGCGUGUGUGAAGAAGGUCUUCGGAUUGUAAAGCACUUUAAGUUGGGAGGAAGGGCAGUAAGUUAAUACCUUGCUGUUUUGACGUUACCAACAGAAUAAGCACCGGCUAACUUCGUG
rnacentral:rRNA from 1 species